UACGAGGGGGGCAAGCGUUGUUCGGAUUUAUUGGGCGUAAAGGGUGCGUAGGCGGUUUGGCAAGUCUUAUGUGAAAUCUUCGGGCUCAACCCGAAGCCUGCAUGAGAAACUACCGGGCUUGAGUAUGGGAGAGGUGAGUGGAAUUUCCGGUGUAGCGGUGAAAUGCGUAGAUAUCGGAAGGAACACCUGUGGCGAAAGCGGCUCAUUGGACCAU
rnacentral:rRNA from 1 species